rnacentral:lncRNA from 1 species
CAACAUGGCACAUGUAUACAUAUGUAACAAACAAACCUGCACAUUGUGCACAUGUACUCUAAAACUUAAAGUAUAAUAAUAAUGAAAGAAAAAAGAAAAAAAGAAAGUUAUAAAGAUCUAAUACAAUUCCAUUAUGAAAUUACCACUUUAUGUCUCAGAAAGUAAAAUGGCAGCUUCAAAGAUAAAUGCUGCUCACAACAAUCAGUCAGAAAAUUCUUGCCCACAGCAAGCAGCAGAACACAGGGAUGCACGUUCAAAAAGACUCACGAGUAGCUUUCGAAGCACUCACAUUCGCUGUGUCUGUAAAGAGUUAGGAAGGUUCAGGGAUCCAAGGGCAGAUCUGGCAGGAGAAGGGCCAUCUUGAAGGGACAGGCAUGAAAACCCAGGAGUGGUCUGCACAGCUCCCACCGGGAACUCAGGGGAUCCUCACGGGUGGGUGUGGGGAGCAGCCCCGUGUGCACCCUCCUGGCCUGGAGAGGUGCUCCCAGGAGCUGAGCACGUGUCGCAGCCCAGCUCAGUGCCGUGAUUUGGAGAGCAAGCUCCCCGAGCCCUGCAGUGGCUAACACAGGAACCCUCGUUGCCCUAGAAAGUUUCAAGAAUGUGUCUUGAACUGAGAAGACACGUGUUUUAAGAACUGAGAAUUCCCCUGAACUGCCAUGCUCACCUGGGGUUCUUCAUCCUCAGGGAACUGGUCAGCAGGAAAGCCUGGCACAGGCCAGUCGUGGGGCCAUGCGGCAGCAGCAUUGGCUAAUUUCUGAGAACUCAUCCCAAGGGAAGCGUCCUGCGGAGUCAACGGGCAGCAUCUCCCGACAGGUGCCCAGAGCAACCAAGAACACGCAGGACAGCAAAACGCCCGUCAACCAAGAACACACGGGACAGCAAAACGCCGGUGGCUCCUCAUCUGUUGAGGACUCUGGCUCCGGUACAAGUUUGAUGAAUAAAUAUCCUCAACUCAAUGACUAAAGGCAUAGGGAGGGUUACGCGAGAAUCAAAACACCCAGCAGCUGCCAGAACGCUGCCUGCUCGUGCAGUAGAAAGUGGUCCUCACGGCAAUCAUCUAAAAAAUGCAAACACGGGUCGUCCUUCACCAGCUCCUGCGCUCCUCCAGACCGAAGGCUGUGGGUUUUGUCACCUUCCUGACAACUCUGUGAUAAACUAUUAGGAAUGUCUUAUGGAUGGCGAAAUGGAAGCCCAGAAAUGCUGAGGGACUGCUCUACGGGCCCAAGGAUACAGUAAGAGCCAAGACUCAACCCCAAGCGAGUCUGGUGCUGCACUGGAG